GAAAGCUACAAGCAGGUUAAUCAAGCACUGCUCGUGAGGAUUUGUGAAGCAGCUGUGUGUGGACAAGCUGUUUGUGCAUCUUGAUUUGUUUGAUUACUCUCAUGCAAUAGAAUGUGUUCAACCAAAGGAACUGAGAAUGUAGCUGGUUCACAACUGCCUUAUGCUGAAGAUGCCCUUCAAAGAAGCUGGAGGAUGUGGUCUGAAAUAUUCUCAGAGCAGAGAAUAGUACUGAAAUCUAAAAUGCUGUUGCCUACUGAUACCAACAGAAACUGUAAGACAGAAUCUGAGCAUGGACAAGUCAUAUGGACAUGGCAGCUAUAGGGAACAAAUUGUGAAGGUCUUAGCUGUUUAUUCAGUGAAUGAGGCUGAGCUGAAGGGGGAAAAAAGUGCUCCAAUUGAGCAGCCUCAUACUGAAUAUAAAGCAUGUUUCAAAAUACUGAUACCAGAAACAGACCUGUGCUUGAUGAACUCCAGAUGAUUCCAUGGAUGCUAAUGCAGAGAAAAAACCCAGCAUCUUUCCUCCUCCAUCCCCUGCCCUUG